AAGAGAGACGUUGGCAAGCUGUUCCCAGUAGGCGGCGAUAUCAUUAGCCACUGGGUGAACCUAAUCGAAGACUUCAUAGGUCAAUUUGUUCCCAAGAUUGGAAAGAGGGACAUUGGUCUUGUAGUUCCUCAUUUCGGAAAGAGGGAUCUUGUAUCUUCUAUGAGGCAGGAGCGAGAUCUUGUUAUGAGUUCAAUCGAGACGGCAAAUGAAGAUCUCCUUAAACCAGUAUUGCAAAGUGUCUUCGACAUGGUUCAACGAUGGCUCAGAUUUCUACUCUCGCCGUUUAUGUAGAACCUGCUUGAUAUAAGUACUACGGGAUGUGAACGACGAUGUGAAUUAGCUCUCAAUGCAUUUCGGUUUAAGAAGAAAAUAAUAUCGUGACCAACUAAUUACAGGUUAUUGUGUAUUAUGCAAAGAAACCAAAUAAAUUUGUUCAUUGCUGAAA